rnacentral:sRNA from 1 species
CAUCUUCGAUCUGCUGCGGACAGAUGAAGUGGAUGUGGCUAUCGAACCCGCCCGCCGUCAGAAUGCGGCCUUCACCGGCGAUGGCUUCGGUCCCCGGCCCCACGAUGAUGUUCACGCCCGGCUGGGUGUCGGGAUUGCCUGCUUUGCCGAUGGCCGCGAUACGCCCGUCGCGCAGGCCCGCAUCCGCCUUGAUGAUCCCCGUGUGAUCGACGAUCAGCGCAUUGGUGAUGACGGUGUCAACGGCCCCCUCGGCACGGCUGGCCUGGCUCUGGCCCAUCCCGUCGCGGAUG